AGCAGUCGCCGCGGGAAUACAGAGGGUGCGAGCGUUAAUCGGAUUUACUGGGCGUAAAGCGUGCGUAGGCGGCUUCUUAAGUCGGAUGUGAAAUCCCUGAGCUUAACUUAGGAAUUGCAUUCGAUACUGGGAAGCUAGAGUAUGGGAGAGGAUGGUAGAAUUCCAGGUGUAGCGGUGAAAUGCGUAGAGAUCUGGAGGAAUACCGAUGGCGAAGGCAGCCAUCUGGCCUAAUACUGACGCUGAGGUACGAAAGCAUGGGGAGCAAACAGGAUUAGAUACCCCAGUAGUCCCUGUCUCUUAUAA
rnacentral:rRNA from 1 species